AUUGAACGCUGGCGGCAGGCCUAACACAUGCAAGUCGAGCGGAUGAAGGGAGCUUGCUCCUGGAUUCAGCGGCGGACGGGUGAGUAAUGCCUAGGAAUCUGCCUGGUAGUGGGGGAUAACGUCCGGAAACGGGCGCUAAUACCGCAUACGUCCUGAGGGAGAAAGUGGGGGAUCUUCGGACCUCACGCUAUCAGAUGAGCCUAGGUCGGAUUAGCUAGUUGGUGGGGUAAAGGCCUACCAAGGCGGCGAUCCGUAACUGGUCUGAGAGGAUGAUCAGUCACACUGGAACUGAGACACGGUCCAGUCUCCUACGGGAGGCAGCAGUGGGGAAUAUUGGACAAUGGGCGAAAGCCUGAUCCAGCCAUGCCGCGUGUGUGAAGAAGGUCUUCGGAUUGUAAAGCACUUUAAGUUGGGAGGAAGGGCAGUAAGUUAAUACCUUGCUGUUUUGACGUUACCAACAGAAUAAGCACCGGCUAACUUCGUG
rnacentral:rRNA from 1 species